CGUAAGUGUUGCGGCCGAGGAUAGAACCCUGGACUUUCUAUGUGCAGUCAGGCGCCUUUGACCACUCGGCCACGGCACCUCCAUUUUGCCACAGAAUUAGACCAUGACCUCAGACUAAGUUAAAUGGGGAUUUCAGAAUAUUGUCCUUUGGGUUUACAUUUCAUCCCAACAUAAACAUUCAGUCAGCAUGGGUCCCAUUUCAUAAAACCUGUCAUUAACACAUUCAAAUUUCUACAGCCAAAUUUACUAUCAGCCAAUCACUUUUACCUAUGAGGAGUUUUUGUAUACAAAAAUAACCCUAAAAGCAUUGCUAUUCAGUUCUUCUUAAUUUCCUUCAUAAUUCUUGAAUAGCGCCUUGAGCACUCUACAGAGUGGAUUCGGCGCUAUAAAAGUCCAAUAUAUUAUUAUCAUUGUUGUCACUGGCAUACAAUUGAUAGUAACCAAAGUUCAAACACAGGAGCCAAUCCUGGGGCAUAGAUCCACCUCUGAAUCUUAAUCCAUUUGGGGAGGGUUUGUGAUAAGGAGGGGGAGGGGGUUUGGGAUUGCUGGUGAGAAAUAUUGUAAUAUGUUAUUGUCUUAAAAAUUAAAAAAAAAUGUAUAUAUUUUUGUUAUGACAGGCGGAGGUGAUACUGCGACGUGUGCAGCAAAGUAUAACACUGAGCAUCUCGUCAGCCAUGUCAGUACUGGAGGCGGGGCUAGUCUAGAGCUCUUGGAAGGCAAGAACCUACCAGGUAUUGCUGCAUUGUCCGACGUCUGACUACCUCCAUCACCCUUUCCUACCAGUGCACUUUGACCCGAUGCCAUAGAUCCUUAUUGGUGGCAGCGGUGGGAUUCAUAUCAAAUAUAUUAGCUGGCCGAUGCAAUGCCAGGCAAGGUUGUAUUUUGUGGCAGCCCUCAACGUUAUCCUUUCCUCUUCCUGAAGUGUUUGUAAUUGAUACCUCUUCUAUUAAACGCAUUAAUGUCCGGUCCGGUGUUUCAUGAAAUUACGAGCGACUUUAUGCAUUACAUGUUUUGUUGACAAUCAUAGUUUGUAUUCCACCAAAAGAAAUAUUCGGCAGAGCUGGGGACUACUGAUAGUGACUGAUUAAGUCUUUGUAUCUGUCCGUGUCUGAUGAUUGCUUCAAUAACUUAAUGUGCACGCAUGCAACCCAGAAGGUUUUCUGUGAAGUGAUUAGCUAGUGUUUGAGUGUUGUCCUACACUUUGAAAAACUGUCAGUCAAACCAAAUUCUUUGGUCAGUUAGAUAUUGCAUUCUAUUUAUCCUUUCUUUCUAAAAUAAAGUUAAAUGGUAAAAUUGUAGUAUUUGUGAAAGGAAGGGGUUAUAAAAUGUAGGAUUUCACAAAUUUUAAAUAUAUUGAGUGUAAUGUCACCAGUAUUUCAGAUACUGCAUUAUGAACUACAAAGAUUUUAUUUUUUACAGCUUGUAAUAUAAUUACAUGGUUGAAAGUGAUUGCAAAGCAGUCAUACUUUGCUUAUAGCACCUAAAAGCAAUAUGACAGAUUCAUCUUGAUAAUGUGAUAUAUAUUUUCGUGCAAAAUUAUUUUUACUUUUAAUAAUUCUCAAAUUCUGUGUCAUAUGCUCAAAAAGAUAAGGCUUGUCAGGGUAUAUUUCUAACAAGAUUGUUAAACGAAAUUGUUAAUAUAUCGAAAAUCAGUUUCUCCAAGCUAAAGUUUGAUGGGCAAGCCUUCUAGAUUGGAAGAAGUUGAAAUAUUAUAUGUUCUUCCUGAACUGAUUAAAUCAUACUUUAUCUUUGUUUUGUUAGUCAUGCCAUUGUUUUUUGAGGUGGUUAAUACUUAGUAUGCCAUCAGUAAAUACAUACAAUUAUGUUAGCAAAGGAUGUUUUAUUAUUAUACAAGAAAAUUUAUUUUAGUGUCAGUUUUAUGCAUCAAGGAUGUGUGAUUUCAUUGUUUGUGCAAAGCACAAAUGUCACCAUAAUCAAGCCACCACAACAUCAUUUUGUAAAACUGCCUAAGUUCUUGGUUAUCUUGGGAAUUUGUUUAGUGGGAUUAUAUUUGGUAAUGUGCAGGUAGGCUGUGGAGAUUUUCAUAAUGUUUAGUAUAUAAAUGAAUGUGAAUCCUACAGAGCUGGGGCCCGUUUCAUAUAACUGGUUAUAAUACCAAAUUUUUCAAUAACAGUUUAAAGCAAAUUAAAUCAUUCGAUUUGAUUGGCUGAUUGUAAACUUGAUAUAGAAAAUGUGCAUUUGUUAUUUUAACCACUCUUUAUGAAACCAGACCCAGAAAUGAGACUAUGAUGUGGUGUAGAUGAGAUAUAUCAUAAUAAAUGUGAAAUUAUAUAAAAAUAA